rnacentral:rRNA from 1 species
GGGCCCGCACAAGCGGAGGAACAUGUGGUUUAAUUCGAUGAUACGCGAGGAACCUUACCUGGGCUUAAAUGUAGAGUGCAUGUGGUGGAAACACCCUUCCCUUCGGGGCUUUCUACAAGGUGCUGCAUGGUUGUCGUCAGCUCGUGCCGUGAGGUGUCGGGUUAAGUCCCAUAACGAGCGCAACCCCUACCGUUAGUUGCCAUCAGGUCAAGCUGGGGACUCUAGCGGGACUGCCACCGUAAGGUGAGAGGAAGGUGGGGAUGACGUCAAAUCAGCACGGCCCUUAUGUCCAGGGCUACACACGUGUUACAAUGGCAGGUACAAAGGGCAGCUACACCGUGAGGUGAUGCUAAUCUCUAAAGCCUGUCCCAGUUCGGAUUGGAGUCUGCAACCCGACUCCAUGAAGUUGGAUUCGCUAGUAAUCGCGCAUCAGCCAUGGCGCGGUGAAUACGUUCCCGGGCCUU